UACUCCAGCUACGCUCGCGUUUAUCGUGCGCUACAAUUCGAUGAACUAACGAGCUCGAAUGAACUUUUUCGUGCACCGCGGUUCGCGCCAAAUUAUUUUUAUACGAUAUAGUGUUAUAUUGUGAUUUUUGUGCUGUUGGUGGAUAAAAAGUGGUGUUACUGGAAAUCAUUGGAUUGGAAUCCUGAAAACAUUUGGAUUGGAUUUGUUAAUUGACACCGAUUUUGAUUGUGAGCGGUAGCGCACCCGUACUUCCGUUUCCGGCGACGCGCCCGCGCAGCAUCCGCGACCACUAGACCGGUACUAUCUAUAUUCUGCUACGGAUCAUUCAGUGAAGAUCACAAUAUGGAGAAGUGAACGCCAAACGAUGUUCAGUCACAAAAUAAUGUAUUAUGUGUUAAUAAUUGUACCUUUAUUGAUAUGUAUUAUAUAGCAUAUAAUAUACAAAUAAUGUAAAAUGCCGUGAAAUGGAUUUGGAUCUUAUUUAUAGCUUAGGAAAUUCAUUCAAAUUAUGAAGCGAUAUAUAUAAUGUAGACAACCAUAUUAUUAUGAUCGCUAUGUAUAUAUUAUUUUUAUCUUAUAAAACGAUAUUUCUAUAGUCUGUUAACAAGAAUGCAGGCAGUAGAUGAGAAAAACGAAUUCUAAACUAAAACAUGUCUUAUCAAAUUUACAAUUCUUAUGUUAUUAGCUAAAUUAUGAACAGUAUUUUGAAUUGUCUUGGUCAUCCUUAAUCCUGUCGGCACCUGAGCGAUUUCACAUUUUCUAAAGGUUUCAUACACAAUAUAUUAGCGAUAUUUCCAAUGUUCCUAAAUAUUAAUAUUAGUAGAUUAUAUGUAGUUAUAGUACCUAAUAAUUAUAUGUAGCGGGAAUUUCAAACUCUUGGUGCUGUAUUAGUAGUCUAAACAGGUCACUUGGUUAGACUUUGCAUAUAGUCUACUAUUACUUAUCUAAUGACACUGGCUAACUUGUUUGCACACACUAUACCCCCCACCUUUAUGAGAUGUAUCGAACAUUUCAAAAGUUUAUCUUUAUUUUUUUUUCGUCUUGUUUAGGCUUCACUAAUUGAAAUGAAAAAAGUAAUAUAAACAAGAAAAUAGAGAAAUUAAUAAUUGAGUUAUUUCAUGAUGAAACCGAAUCAAUUUCACAGCAUAAUAGUGCCAAAUAAUAAAUAAU